rnacentral:misc_RNA from 1 species
CAGAGUUGCAAAACUCCCACAAGCCAUCGCGAAUCUUACCCGUACGGUUGCCUCGGCGCUGGCGGUCCGGAAGGCCCUCGGGCCCCCCGGAUCCUCGAGUCUCCCGCUCGCGGGAGGCUGCCCGCCGGAGUGCCGAAACCAAACUCUUGAUAUUUUAUGUCUCUCUGAGUAAACUUUUAAAUAAGUCA